AAGUCGUAACAAGGUUUCCGUAGGUGAACCUGCGGAAGGAUCAUUAACGAGGAGUGGUUUUGAACCAACAAGACAACUGUGAAAGGAAGUGGGUGAGUGGGUGUGCAGGCCUUUAGCUUGGACUUGGACAUUUCUCACAGCUCUUCAAAUAUAACUAUAAUUUAACUAUUUAAACAUCAAGUACAACUUUUAACAAUGGAUCUCUUGGCUCUC
rnacentral:misc_RNA from 1 species